AGAACAUCUGACACCAGCCUGUAUCUCCAGUUUUAUAAAGCAGGCUCUAGUCAUGCACUAAGGCAGACAGAGAAAUUGACACUUUUUUUCAG
rnacentral:lncRNA from 14 species